rnacentral:misc_RNA from 1 species
UACGUAGGCGGCAAGCGUUAUCCGGAAUUAUUGGGCGUAAAGCGCGCGUAGGCGGUUCGUUAAGUCUGAUGUGGAAGCCCCCGGCUCAACCGGGGAGGGUCAUUGGAAACUGGCGGACUUGAGUGCAGAAGAGGAGAGUGGAAUUCCAUGUGUAGCGGUGGAAUGCGCAGAGAUAUGGAGGAACCCCAGUGGCGAAGGCGGCUCUCUGGUCUGUAACUGACGCUGAGGUGCGAAAGCGUGGGGAGCAAACAGG